rnacentral:rRNA from 1 species
GACGAACGCUGGCGGCGUGCUUAACACAUGCAAGUCGAACGGUAAGGCCCUUCGGGGUACACGAGUGGCGAACGGGUGAGUAACACGUGGGUGAUCUGCCCUGCACUUCGGGAUAAGCCUGGGAAACUGGGUCUAAUACCGGAUAGGACCACUGCCUGCAUGGGGGGUGGUGGAAAGCUUUUGCGGUGUGGGAUGGGCCCGCGGCCUAUCCGCUUGUUGGUGGGGUGAUGGCCUACCAAGGCGACGACGGGUAGCCGGCCGGAGAGGGUGACCGGCCACACUGGGACUGAGAUACGGCCCAGACUCCUACGGGAGGCAGCAGUGGGGAAUAUUGCACAAUGGGCGCAAGCCUGAUGCAGCGACGCCGCGUGAGGGAUGACGGCCUUCGGGUUGUAAACCUCUUUCAGCACCGACGAAGCGCAAGUGACGGUAGGUGCAGAAGAAGGACCGGCCAACUACGUGCCAGCCGCCGCCGUAA